CAGGCGGGACUUGGGUGGAGGGAGACCCUCGGCUCCAGUUACCGCGAGGUCCUCGUUUUCCCAACGUGCAGGGGAAGGAGGCAGCUGAGGAGGCGGGCGGGGAGCAGUCGGGACGCGGGUGGGUGAUCUGUGCUCUGUGCACACACACGGUGUCCUCCUUUGCAGGUAUGCACGAAAGAGCCGCCAUCACGGGCAGCUGGUAUGACUCAGGGCCACCAGAGCGGCCACCGGCUCACAAGCUGACGUGGGGUGCGCCAAGUGGCAGAGGGUCACUUCCGGCAGCUGGGCUGACUUCGGAAGGCGGUGAAAACGUGGCCGUGGGCAGGACCACGUACCUCAUCCUCACUGUUCUCCCACCAGCCACAGCGUGUUCUGGAAGACCAGAGGCAGGAGCUGCCCAUGGCUCUGCGGACAAAGCCCAGAAGGAAGCCGCCCUGGUUCUCAGUUGGACUCAGGAUGGUCAUCAGUUCCAGAAGGUUCUUCCGGGCACCUGGGAGAGGACCAGCACGUGCCAAGUGAUGUCCAGGCCUCGUGGCGCUCCGAGGCAAGCUGACAGACGGUGGCCGGACCAUGGGGCUGAGGGAGCCGGGGGCAGGGUUGCUGUCCACGGGCCUGUCCCCAGGCUGCUAGGUGGCCUCACUGGGGGAGGGUGGUGGUGGCAUCCUUCCGGAAGCGUGGAGCUGAGAACUCUAUCUCUUUAAGGAAGAAGGUGACCCGGCACAGAGAGCACGGUCUCAGGGGCCAGAGACGUUUCAACCACGCCAACAGUGGCCUGCGUCUAACCCCGAACCCAGCAGGCCACCCCCACCGCAGCCACUGCUGCCCCUUCAGACCCGGAGUCACCCUCGCCGGUCCCUGCCUCCUCCUGCCGCCGUCCCCCAGGCGCAAUGCCGCCCUGCAGCGUCCCGGCAAAGUGCAAGGUCAGAGUGGGGCCCAGCCUUCCUCACAGUGGUCACCGGGGAACUCACUGCAGAGCCAUCAGCGGGACUCAGGGACGGCCUGCCCGACCGCGUGGCACAACUAUCGAGAGCUCCUCCCUGUGGACCGUGGCGGGGGGAGGACGGGCAGCACAGGGACUGGCCGCAGGCAGGUCCCCGGAGCUGGGCCCGGGGCGAGAGGAAGUCCGCGCCCGGGUGCAGGGAGUCAGCUAUGGACAGUGCUUGGUAUAUCUGAGGGACAAGUGUCCCUCCCUUCAAAUUCUUGGACGGUCCAACCACCACGGAGGGUGGCCAAGCCACGCGGGAGAGGUGUGUGAGCGUGUGUGAGAGCUUUGUGUGGAUGGGUUAUGCGUGAGCACGUGCGUGCAUGUGAACGUACACAUGUGUGCGUGUGAGCAGAUGUGUGCAUGCAGUGACAGCACGUGAGAGAGCGUGUGCCAAUGUGAGGCGUGUGCACAAGGGUGUGAGAGCAGGCGUGUGCCCGUGUGCAUGAACGUGUGCACAUAUGUGUGCAUGCAGUGAGAGCAUCGUACGAGAGCACGCGUGUGCAUGUAAACACGUGUGCGGGUGUGGUGAGAGGGGGUGUGCACGUGAGCACAAGUGUGCAGACCAGGAGCAGGGAGCAUUGCAGCGAGGCCCCUGUCCAUCCACACACACAGGUGCCCUCCACCAGCCAGGUUCCUGGGGGCACCAUCGCCCACGGGAAAUCUGGGCCGUCCUGUAAAAAUGCAGGGGUCAGGUCAGAGGUCAGCACUGGCAUCGUGCUGGGGAUGCAAGUUCUCGACCUCAGUCCUGUUGAAGGAGGGACAGGGUCGCCCAGGUGACCGAGUUUGAAGACGCAAGGACAGCACAGGGCGGGUGUUAAAUUCUAGAAGGUCGAGCUCUCCACGGGGCAGCAGGGUGCCCUGGGGGUGGCGGCCAUGAGGGGAGGGACGGGCGCUCCCGGCAGGUGGGGUCAGGGGGCCAGACCUCCACCGUGACCGUCCCCACAGACCCGUCCCUCGAGGCUCCGAGCUGCCAGCAGCUGGGGCUGUUCGCCGGGCUGCCCGUGGGGGACGCGGCAGGGAGGGCAGUGUUGGCUCCGGCCGCUGCUCCGGGAGCCGCAUGCGCUUGCCCGGGGACACGUUUAGUGGGGAAGACGUCAGUGGUGCAAAAGCCACAGACACACUGCAAAUAUCGGACGGGCUUGGAAGCAGACGUGGAAUCUGGAGACGUCGCACUUUGUUAACCGUCUGGAACGUGUCCCGUCGCUGCCACGCUGCCGGCUGCGCGGCCGAGUCGCACAAUGAGAACCCCGUGCUGCGCACGCUUGUCACUGAGGUCACUGGCCGCGGGCUGCCUCCCUGGGCCCCCCAGAUUCUCGGAGGUGGCCUUGACCCGGCCUCGGGGCCCCGCCGGGAAGCGCUGCAUCCUGGUCGCGGGCGGGGGGCUGAGUGAGCCCGUGGUGGGGAGGUGGCUGGUGGCGCUCCGGGCCGGACUCGCCCGCCCUGUCACCCACGCCGGCUGCGCUGUGGCUGCCCCGCUUCCUCGGGCCCCAGCCCCGGUGGCUCCUGACCGCCUGCCUGCGUCACACUGGCCGCCAGCAUGACACCAUCUGCUUCCUCUUGGUUCCUUCUCGUGGGGUCGCAUCCGGGCAAGCGCUUCCAUCACAGGCUGCUCCUCUCUCUCCCCCAGUCGUGGCAGGAAAUGGCAGGGAUGCGGCGGCAUCACGUCGAGGCCCUCCUACUGCGCGUCACGUCAGACAACGUCAUCCACCGAUUUGGGCACCUGACACCCCAGCAAGAAAGAAUGAGACACCAAAGCCACGGCAGGUGCAUCUGUGCAAAGUUCAGUCGGCGUCCUCAAACGGUAUUUGUAGGUUGCCAAGAGGUGAAAGUACAAAAUACCCACAUGUGAACAGAAAAAAUCAGCCUGCAAGAAACAAGACAACGCUCUGGUCUCAGACGAGCCUUGUGUGAGCUUCCGAGAACGGCUUUGAGUGCACUCGCCUCUCAGAGAGCCUUCCAUCAUGACCUCACACGUCGCCCCUCAUGCUGAGGCCCCUUGGCUGCCCAGAGCCCAGGGUCCUCACCCCUUCCUCCCCUGGGCCCAUCCCCGCUGCCCCCGCACGCAGAGACCCCUCCUCAGGUAACCCUGGGGCCCUCUUUCCUGCUCCUCCCUCGGGGGCCAGGGAUGGUCCCAGGCCAGCCCUGGCAUGUGUCCCCGACCCCCGAGGAGCAGACCUGGGCACCCACGCUCCUAGGAGGCAGCAGGGCCAGUAAAGGUCCCUACGCUGUGCAUACAUUUCCAGCUCUUUCGAAAUGAAAACACGACUUUUCAUCUUCCUGUUGUGUAACUGGUUUAUAACUGCCUAACGCGCCCAAAUGCUCUGCCCAAACUCUGCAUUUCGUGGGUGACUUUUUCGAACACGAGGAUAAAAGACCGGCUCAUCAUGAGAUGCCCACUGAAGGCUCUGCUCACUGGCGGGCCACUGCCCCCCGCCGGGCCUCCCCACCAGCCACUGCCCAGGCUGGGGCCCACAGGCACCUGCCCUCCCUGGUGGGCGCUCAGUCACCCGAGGAGCCCGCCUGGCCCCACUGCCCCGUGGGAGCUGAGCACCAACCCCGAAGGGACAGGCGGCGGCAGGAACACGGCAAGCCCCACCUGAUGUCUGACCACCAGGGCGUCCGGUCCUCCCUCUUCAACUCAGUCCUCAGCGCGUGGUUCAAACUCACCCUCCCCACUGUGGGGAGGGCAGAGGCCCCCCACGUUCAUGACGAUGCGUUCUCAGCUCUUCCCCCAACACCGCUGUGGCUGAUGUACCCCAGCAUUUCCAAGGCUCUGGUGUCCCUGCCUCCAGGGAGGGAGGGGCGGUCUGGUGGGAAGAAUGACCCUCCAGCCUCCAAACUCAAAUGCCCUACGGGGACAGUGACACCCAAGGGAACUCUCUCGGCUGCCAGCUAACGCCAAGCAUCGCCCGGCACUCCACUGGGUGGGCUGCUAGUCCCCGCCAUGAGCCUGAGGGGACCCUGGGCCUCCCUGGGGGUGGGGGGAGGUCUGUGCAGCCCCACCCCCACAGAGCAUGGCCACCCACUGGGAAGCACGGUCACGGAAGUGAGAUGUGGUCGGAGGGCAGAGAUUCCCCAGGUGUCAAAUGUCGCGGGGACCAAGUACCCGCUGGGCUCGGCCUGGCCGCGGCCACCACCACGUCUACCACCUCCCACCUCCCGAUGAAGGCCACCAGGAGGACCCAUGGCCAUCUGCCCGGGGCACUUGCCUGAGUCCAAACACGGGGAAGCAGCUGGUCAAGUCGGCCUGGGCCGUUCCACUGGACAGCCGGCUGGACUCCCCAGAGCUGUCCACGUCAGGAAAGACAUGGCGGGAGGGGGGCUCCAGAGCAAGGAGGAGAGGAGCCACCCCACCAAGUGCAACGUGUGCGCCUCCACGGGUCUGGGGCCGCGGAGCGAAGAUAUGAGCUGGCUCCGUAAUGGACGUCACCGGGCACCGGUGCACAUUUGAGUAUGGACAGACUCAAAUGAGUAUGGACAGACCGUGAAUUCCUCGCUUCGGGAGAUGCACGGAACUGCCAGGGCAACAGUCAGGAUGCCGCACCUCACUUUCCCACAGGAAAGCGUGGACAUGCGCGCAUGUGGGUACGUGUGCCACGCGUGUGCGCACGCACAGAUGAGUGAUGAGCAUGGAUGUGCACGUCGCAGACGCUCCCGCGUGUGGACACGUGUCCACGCACGCAGACGUGGACGGGGGACAGGACUGCCCGGAACACGUGGCGAACGUUAACGGCCCGAAGCGCGGUGCGGGUGCACGUGAGUCAGCAGAGCGCCGGCCUUCCACCCCUUCUGUGGGUUUGAAAUGAAGAGCCUACAGGGAAGACAGAUUUCUUCCUGCCAUCUUCUUGGGACUCCUCUGCCGGCCUCACCUCUGGAAACCGGGGGACCCGGCACAGGGUGGUGGCAGGUGCUUUCCAGGCACCACCCCCGUCCCCCGGGCUCCAUGUGGGUGUGAGCCCCCCGAGCCUUCAGACCCCCAGGCAGGCCGCCGAGGGGCCGGGGCACCGAAUUUCUCUUAGUCGAUGUUAUAAUUUAAAGUUCACUUACGUGGAGCCAAAGAUGUUAACGCGCUCACUCCCCUCCCCAGGACUCCUCCCAGCGCCACCCUGAAACAAAACACCUACUUUCACAGACUCCAAAAACUCUUCUGAGGCCCAAGAGUCUCUCAGUGCAAGAGUGCAUUGGCCCUGCCGGUGUCUUGAAGUUCCAUACACGUGGUAGAAUCAGUUUGAAGGUCCCGACAGGGCAUCCGCGGGGGUCCGUAAGGUCGCACGGCUCUGCUCACGGUUUGGGACGCAUGCCACCUUAACGGUGGGAAGUCUCCCGAUCCGCGAACACCGAGUGUUUUCCCAUUUAUUUAGAUCUUCCUUAAGUUCGCUCAACGUUGUUUUCAAUUUCCAGAGUAUACGUUUUGCACUCCUUUUGUUGGAUUUAUUCCGAAGUGUUUUAUUCUUUUUGUGCUUUUGUAAAUGGAUUUUUUUCCUUAAUUUCAUUUUGGAUCAUUUGUUGCAAGUGUAUAGAAAUGCAAUUGACUUUUUACAACGAACUUGUGCCCUGCAGCUGAACUUAUUAGCUACAACUAUUUUUCACGGAUUCCUUAGGACUCUGUAUCUUGAAGAUCACGUGAUCUGUGAACAGAGUACAAUGUUGAAUGGAAGUGGUGAGUGGGGGCACCCUUGUCUCGUUCCUGACCUGGCGGGGGGCACGUCCGGCUUUCCACCAGUAGGUUGGACAUCAGCUGUGGGUUUUAGGAGGUGCCUUUUAUAGGGUUGAGGAAGUGCCCUUCUAUUCCUAGUUUUUUGAGUGUUUUUAAUCACAAGAGAGUGUUGAAUUAUCAAAUGCCUUUUCUGUGUCUUUUGAGACAAUCACACAACUUUUAUUCAUUCCAUGGAUGUCACGCAUUACACUGAUUUACAGAUGUUAAACCAGCCUUGUGUUUCUAGGAUGAAGCCCAGUUGGUCAUGGUAUACAAUAAGUUUUCUAUGUUGCUGGAUCUGAUUUGCUAGUACUUAAGGCUUUUUGUAUCUGCAUUAAUAACUGAUACUGGUCUGUAGUUUUCUUUCUUGUGACAUCUUUGGUUUUGCUGUGCAGGUCACACUGGCCUCAUAAAAUCAGUUGGAAACUGUUCCCUUUUUUUAUUUCUUAAAAGAGUUUCUGAAGAACUGGUUUUAAUUCUUUAACCGUUUGGUAGAAUUCAACAGCAAAGCUGGGCUUUUCUUUAUGGGUAGUAUUUGGAUUAUUGAAUCAAUCUCUUUUAAUGGCUACGGAUCUAUUCAAAUUGUGUAUUUCUCAUUAAGUCUCCAGAGCGCCUAUCUUUCUAGGAAUUCGUCAAUUCCACCUCAGUUGUCCAAUGUGUUGACAUAACCAUUCAUCACGUUGGGCUAGAACAUUUACAGGGUUCAAACAAAACUGGGGGACUCCUGCUUCCCCAUUUCAACACUUACUACAAGGCUACAGUGACCGAGGCAGUGUGGUGCCGGCCCGAGGGUGGACUCAUACAUCUCUGGUCAACGACUUCUCAACAAGAGGGCCAAGAUUACCCAGGGAAAGAAUAGCACUUCAACCAACGGUGCUGGCGCAACCGGGUGCCACAGGCAAAAGAACGAAGUGGACCCUUCACACUGUUGACAAAAACUAACUUCAAAUGGAUCGAAGACCUAAACGUAAGAGCUACAACUGUAAAACUCUCAGAGGAAAACAUAAGAGUAAAUCUUCAUGACCUUGGACUUAGAAAGGACUCUGAGAAUAUGAUGCCAAAAGCCUAAGCAACAAGGGAAAGAACAAAAUCGGACUAAAUAAAAAUGGGAAACUUCUGUGCUUCAAAGGACACCAUCAAGAAAGUGAAAAGACAACCCAUAAAAUGGCAGAAAAUAUUUGCAAAUCGCGUGCUGAUAAGGGACUUGUACCUAGAAUCCGUAAAGACCUGCUAUAACGCGACAAUGAAAACACGAGCCACCCAACUAAACAGGUGGCAAAGAGGGGCACCUGGGGGGACUCAGUCGGCUGAACGUCUGACUCCUGGUUUUGGCUCAGCUGAUGAUCUCACAGCUCAUGGGAUCAAGCCCCGCGUCGGGCUCUCCACUGGGUAUGAAGCCUGCUUGGGAUUCUCUCUCUCCUUCUCCCUCUGCCCCUCCCCUGCUCUCUCUCUC